CGGAGGAUCCAAGCGUUAUCCGGAAUCAUUGGGUUUAAAGGGUCCGUAGGCGGGUUUAUAAGUCAGUGGUGAAAGCCCAUCGCUCAACGAUGGAACGGCCAUUGAUACUGUAGAUCUUGAAUUAUUAGGAAGUAACUAGAAUAUGUAGUGUAGCGGUGAAAUGCUUAGAGAUUACAUGGAAUACCAAUUGCGAAGGCAGGUUACUACUAAUGGAUUGACGCUGAUGGACGAAGGCGUGGGUAGCGAACAGGAUUAGAUACCCUGGUAGUCCACGCCGUAAACGAUGGAUACUAGCUGUUCGGAGCAAUCUGAGUGGCUAAGCGAAAGUGAUAAGUAUCCCACCUGGGGAGUACGUUCGCAAGAAUG
rnacentral:rRNA from 1 species